rnacentral:tRNA from 1 species
GAAAGGCUCACAAGAACUGCUAACUCCUACCACUGAUGCUAACCCAUCAGACCUUUCC